GUGCCAGCAGCCGCGGUAAUACGUAGGGUGCAAGCGUUGUCCGGAAUUAUUGGGCGUAAAGAGCUCGUAGGCGGUUUGUCACGUCUGCUGUGAAAUUUCGAGGCUCAACCUCGAACUUGCAGUGGGUACGGGCAGACUAGAGUGCGGUAGGGGAGAUGGGAAUUCCUGGUGUAGCGGUGGAAUGCGCAGAUAUCAGGAGGAACACCAAUGGCGAAGGCACAUCUCUGGGCCGUAACUGACGCUGAGGAGCGAAAGCGUGGGGAGCAAACAGGAUUAGAAACCCCUGUAGUCC
rnacentral:rRNA from 1 species